GAAUCAUCUGAACCAUAUGCCACUGACUCAGAAUCAAGUUGCGAUAGCAAUAAUACUGCAGUUAAACGUAAACGUAGCACAUCUCCAUAUGGAAAGACAAAACGGCGACGUUGGAGCAAUGAAGAACAAGAAAUAGUAAUGAAAUUAUUUGGAAAAUAUAUCAAAUCACCACAUUUGCCUUCAAC